ACCCCUUCUGCGCCUCCAUAUAAACCCCACCCAGCCGGCCCCUAGCGCAGACGGCGAAGAGCGGGAUGGAGCGCGCCUUGGCUCGCUGGCCUUGGCCGCAAGCUCCUCCGAAGAACCCGGGGCGCCCACGCGAGAACCUCCCCGCCAGGUUCUCUCUUCAGGGAUGACAUCACCAUUCACCUCCUUGUCUUCAAGGACCACCUGUUGAUGCCCAGCUGCUGCCAAGGUGCUUGCUGCUCAUCUCCACCUUAUGAAGACAUCAGGAGCACCCAUUUUUGGAUCCCACCAGCAUACCAAGCAGCCACUGGCAGAGACCCCCCAGGACCAGGACCACUGAGGCCGAAGAGGACCAGAACUGACCAACCCGCUGUUCCUCUUGGCUAAAGACUUAAUCCAAUGCCCUAGUGAGGGGGCAUUGGACAUUAACCCCUGACCUUUGCUAUGCUUGUGCCUAUUGCUAUGAAUACUUCCCUGUAAGUCUCUGCUUGUGUUAAUAUGCCAGCGACCUGGAGUGUUUCCCUCCCCAAGAAGGUGUCAGUUUUUCUCAGCUGACCCUAUUGUUGCCCGUAUGAUGUCCUGAAUAGAAGGAUCCCUUUGGGAACUUCUCAGGAGGGGGACCUGGGCCAAGGGCUCCGCCAGCAAACCGCUGGCAAUUCCAAAGCCGUGGUGGGCUUCUGGAAUGAGCAUGAGCCCUGACGUCAUGGGCAUCCCUGCCCCUUUGGGGAUCUCCCUGUUCUUUCGGGGGAAUGGUGAUGAGAAGAGCAACCUCCUAGGGUUGUUGUGAGUAUUAAAUGAGCCAAAUUAGCCUGGGGCAGGGCUGGGCAUAGAGGAGGUGUUCAGCAAACAUUUGUUGAAAGUUGGAUAGGUCAGUCCAUCCCCACCAGUGUCACUUGUCUUACGUCUCUUGUUUAUUUCCCCACAGCACUCCGACAGCCCCUGUCCACGGGGCUCUCCCGCACAGCCAAGCUUCUCCAAAGGCCUGUCUCCACCUGCUGUCUUCCUUCCUCACCUCCAAUUUCCUCUUCAACCCACUGCUUCCUGCCUCCUCUACGCCGCCGCGCGGCCUUCACCAAGGGUUGACCCGGGGCCGGGUCAGCUGAAGAACUGAUGGAAGAGGCAGAAGAGCCCCCGAGGACACCGCCCUGGACCAAGCCCUCCUUCCCAACAGCUGCGUGGCACCCCGCGCCCAGCCUCUCGCCUCCGUCCUGGUUUGGGACGAAGCCAUCGUCCGGAAUUCGUCGUGGGAUGGGACCUCAGACAAGCAACCCCCGCAUCCUCCACCUGUGAAAUCCCUCCACAGCCACGGGGACGCCCUGCACACAUUCCCUCGGGACAGGCUGGACCCACAGACUCUGGACCCGGCUGCCCCCUGCGAGGAGGGGUGUGCCCUCCUCCUCCUCCUCCCCUGCGGUAGCCGCCCACCCUUUGCGGAUGGACUUCACUGAGCUGAGGGUCAGACACGUGGGCUUGACCCCUGCCCACACCUUACGAACCCUGAGACUUAGGGGACUGGCUAUGCCUUCGACAUCCGCAUCUGAGAAAUGGGCUCUGCAACCUACCUCACAGGGUUGUUGUGAGGAGCCUGUGAUGCGGUCUGAAAGUGCCCAACCUGGGGCUUGGCACACCCUGUUGUGCUGUCAAUAAAUGUCUUUUUU